rnacentral:tRNA from 2 species
GGGCGUGUAGCUCAGCCAGGUAGAGCAGCGGCCUUUUAAGCCGUUGGUCGAAGGUUCGAAUCCUUCCACGCUCACCA